CGUGGAAGGGGCGCUUUUAUUAGAUCAAAGCCAAUCGAGUUUCGGCUCGUUUCUUUGGUGACUCUGAAUAACUUUGCUGAUCGCAUGGUCUCGUACCGGCGACGUAUCUUUCAAGUGUCUGCCUUAUCAACUUUCGAUGGUAGGUUAUGCGCCUACCAUGGUUGUAACGGGUAACGGGGAAUUAGGGUUCGAUUCCGGAGAGGGAGCCUGAGAAACGGCUACCACAUCCAAGGAAGGCAGCAGGCGCG
rnacentral:rRNA from 1 species